AGGACGAACGCUGGCGGCGUGCUUAACACAUGCAAGUCGAGCGGAAAGGCCCUUCGGGGUACUCGAGCGGCGAACGGGUGAGUAACACGUGAGUAAUCUGCCCCUAGCUCUGGGAUAGCUCCGGGAAACCGGGAUUAAUACCGGAUACGACCACUUUAGACAUCUGUUGUGGUGGAAAGAAUUUUGGCUAGGGAUGAGCUCGCGGCCUAUCAGCUUGUUGGUGGGGUAAUGGCCUACCAAGGCGACGACGGGUAGCCGGCCUGAGAGGGCGACCGGCCACACUGGGACUGAGACACGGCCCAGACUCCUACGGGAGGCAGCAGUGGGGAAUAUUGCGCAAUGGGCGAAAGCCUGACGCAGCGACGCCGCGUGGGGGAUGAAGGCCUUCGGGUUGUAACCCCUUUCAGCAGGGACGAAGCGAAAGUGACGGUACCUGCAGAAGAAGCGCCGGCUAACUACGUGCCAGCAGCCGC
rnacentral:rRNA from 1 species